CUUACUUCAGAUUGAGUAGCUAUGGAACAGAAAGGGGAAAUGGGUAAAGGAGAACAAUCCUGCUGUCUGGAAUAGAAGUGGAAUAGACCCAUCGUACCAAGCAUAUUCCCAGACAUGCCGCAUUAUCACAUGAGAGACUCCCUCCUGGACACACAGAAGACUGGGUGACUUGGAAGGCGCUGAACAGACUGAGCUCUGGGACCACGAGGUGCAGAGCCAACCUUAAGAA
rnacentral:lncRNA from 11 species